GACGCUGGCGGUGGUGUCCUGGGCCGCGAAGAUGACACCGAUCACGUUGUCGGCGAUCUGAUCGUCGGUCAGCGCCCAUUGUCUGCUUGCUUCUGCUGCCGCCUACGGUCCAAGAUGAUGCGGCUGACGAUGGAGCUCAAGCGCUUCCUGGCCUGGAAACAAGGACACGAACCAAAGCGGGAUCUUUAGACACGCAUCGCAAACCCGAAAACGAAAACCACACAAAAAAAAGAAAGGAAAAUGAAGAGGUGGAGCAAGCAAACAAACACAUUUGACGAUUCCCUACGCGAGUUCCACACGACUGCGACCAGUAAACCUCGAGAAAUGAAAACAAAAAAAGCGAGCACACCACACGGAAAACAAAGCGACGAACAAAGGUGUUCUUCAUGGACAUGUUGAGGCGGAGAAGAUAUUUCUCUCGCCAAUCGUGGGCCGACGCACGGAGAAUGGCACAAGCCACUCGUGAAGCCACACGACCAAAGCACAGUAUUUUUUAAAGUCCCACUCAAUCA